rnacentral:rRNA from 1 species
UACGGAGGGGGCUAGCGUUGUUCGGAAUUACUGGACGUAAAGCGCGCGUAGGCGGCUUUGUAAGUUAGAGGUGAAAGCCCGGGGCUCAACCCCGGAACUGCCUUUAAGACUGCAUCGCUUGAAUCCAGGAGAGGUGAGUGGAAUUCCGAGUGUAGAGGUGAAAUUCGUAGAUAUUCGGAAGAACACCAGUGGCGAAGGCGGCUCACUGGACUGGUAUUGACGCUGAGGUGCGAAAGCCAGGGGAGCGAACGGG